rnacentral:rRNA from 1 species
AUGCUCUCGAUCAGUGGCAAGGAGACUUUACUAAAAGCCAUGGCACAGGCGAUUCCAGUCUAUGCCAUGUCUGUUUUUAAUAUCCUCAAAAAUAUUUGUAAGGCUAUUUGCGAUGCUAUCGCUAGAUAUUGGUGGGGAGACACUCAGAAUAAGAAAAUACACUGGAAAGCAUGGUGGAAGAUGUGUAUCCCGAAAAAUGAAGGAGGCAUGGGAUUCCGAGAUCUGUACAGUUUCAAUAGAGCCAUGUUAGCUAAGCAAUGUUGGCGGUUAUUAUCUGAUCCGGAUUCGUUAUGUGCUCAAGUCUUAUGA